UACGGAGGGUGCAAGCGUUACUCGGAAUCACUGGGCGUAAAGGACGCGUAGGCGGGUUGGAAAGUCAGGUGUGAAAUCCUACAGCUUAACUGUAGAACUGCACUUGAAACUUCUAACCUAGAGUAUGGGAGGGGGAGAUGGAAUUAGUGGUGUAGGGGUAAAAUCCGUAGAUAUCACUAGGAAUACCCAAAGCGAAGGCGAUCUCCUGGAACAUAACUGACGCUAAGGCGUGAAAGCGUGGGGAGCAAACGGG
rnacentral:rRNA from 1 species